UAUCUCGGCUCUCGCAUCGAUGAAGAACGUAGCGAAAUGCGAUACUUGGUGUGAAUUGCAGAAUCCCGUGAACCAUCGAGUCUUUGAACGCAAGUUGCGCCCGAAGCCAUUAGGCCGAGGGCACGCCUGCCUGGGCGUCACACGUCGUUGCCCC
rnacentral:rRNA from 1 species